GUGAGGAAUAUUGGUCAAUGGGCGGGAGCCUGAACCAGCCAAGUCGCGUGAAGGAAGAAGGAUCUAUGGUUCGUAAACUUCUUUUGCAGGGGAAUAAAGUGCAGGACGUGUCCUGUUUUGUAUGUACCCUGAGAAUAAGGAUCGGCUAACUCCGUGCCAGCAGCCGCGGUAAUACGGAGGAUCCGAGCGUUAUCCGGAUUUAUUGGGUUUAAAGGGUGCGUAGGUGGUUUGAUAAGUCAGCGGUGAAAGUUUGCAGCUUAACUGUAAAAAUGCCGUUGAAACUGUCGGACUUGAGUGUAAAUGAGGUAGGCGGAAUGCGUGGUGUAGCGGUGAAAUGCAUAGAUAUCACGCAGAACUCCGAUUGCGAAGGCAGCUUACUGGGAUGCAACUGACGCUCAUGCACGAAAGCGUGGGGAUCAAACAGGAUUAGAAACCCUAGUAGUCC
rnacentral:rRNA from 1 species